UUUAAGUAUAACUAUAAAUUUUUUUAUUCCCAACUUUAACCGUCCAUCCAUUUAAAAAAAUUUAUAAUUAAUAUUUUUGUUGUUAUGAGAUAAUAAAACAUGAAUAUUAUUUUAUACGUGACUUAUAAAAAUUAAAAUAAGAUAGACGGUCAAGGUUGUGCACAGAAAAU
rnacentral:pre_miRNA from 1 species